rnacentral:lncRNA from 1 species
CCGCCAUCCUGGGCCCCACAUGUUGCCUGACCAUUCCUGAGCCCAGUGUCCAUGAAACUGGGAGGUGACCGUGUUAGCUGCCAGUUCCUGACAGCCACCUCUCACCAGUGGCUUCACUCUGUGUCCCUGACCCAGCACAUGGCACAAGAGUGCCUGCCAUCCCUCAGUGUUUCUACAGCAGCAAUCCCGAGAUGCUGGAGCUAGAGGGGACCUGACCUGAGAGAAGAUACCUUCAGUGGCUGCCAGGCUGUUCCUUGGAACCUGUGCAGGGAUGAGGCCUGCCUGUGUUAAUACACCUAGUGAGGAGUGGAGCUGAAUUUGAAUGCAAGCCUUGGCACCUUAAUUGAGCAAGUUUGAAACCUCGCUUGUUGCCCUUCUGGAAGGAGUCAGGAAUUUCCAGUUCUGGGCCUGGGGCUGUGGGUCUGACAGACAGACCUCUGGCCCUAGGUUUGGGUGCCAGGUUCUCUGCUUCCAGAAUGAGAAGCUUUGCUGUGCACCAGGACCUGGGCC